rnacentral:rRNA from 1 species
GAACAUGCCCCAAAGUGAGGAAUAACUGCCCGAAAGGGUAGCUAAUGCCGCAUAUGGUCUUCGGAUUAAAGGAUUUAUCCGCUUUGGGAGUGGCCCGCGUACGAUUAGGUAGUUGGUGAGGUAAUGGCUCACCAAGCCUACGAUCGUUAACUGGUCUGAGAGGAUGAUCAGUCAGACUGGAACUGAGACACGGUCCAGACUCCUACGGGAGGCAGCAGUGAGGAAUCUUCCACAAUGGGCGAAAGCCUGAUGGAGCGACGCCGCGUGCAGGAUGAAGGCCCUCGGGUUGUAAACUGCUUUUAUAAGUGAAGAAUAUGACGGUAACUUAUGAAUAAGCACCGGCUAACUACGUGCCAGCAGCCGCGGUCAUACGUAGGGUGCAAGCAUUAUCCGGAGUGACUGGGCGUAAAGAGUUGCGUAGGUGGUUUGUUAAGUGAAUAGUGAAAUCUGGCGGCUCAACCGUACAGGCUAUUACCGAAACUGGCAAACUCGAGAAUGGUAGAGGUAACUGGAAUUUCUUGUGUAGGAGUGAAAUCCGUAGAUAUAAGAAGGAACACCAAUGGCGUAGGCAGGUUACUGGACCAUUUCUGACACUGAGGCACGAAAGCGUGGGGAGCG